GCGUGAGUGUGGUCAGUGCCGUGCGCCCGGAGACUCGCUCGCAUUGAACGUGAAGCCGAGUCGGAGUUAUGUACCGCGCUCAGUCCGUCCCUAGUGCGGGCAACAACAACUCACUGAUGUACUGCUACAACGUGAAGCCAAUUUAUGGGCAGUCUCCAAAUGACGACAUCAACCAGAACCCGUCUCCACAUCCGUCCGUUAAGGGCCCCGGCAGUUUGUUCGCGAGCACAUUUUUUGAGGGGACGACCAAUUCGCCCGACAUCUGGAGCGCCGUAAACGGGCUGAACCAGCAGGGCUAUGAAGGUGCACUGGGAGC
rnacentral:lncRNA from 1 species